rnacentral:rRNA from 1 species
GUAGGGUGCAAGCGUUAAUCGGAAUUACUGGGCGUAAAGCGUGCGCAGGUGGUUUUGUAAGUCUGUCGUGAAAUCCCCGGGCUCAACCUGGGAAUUGCGAUGGAGACUGCAAGGCUAGAAUCUGGCAGAGGGGGGUAGAAUUCCACGUGUAGCAGUGAAAUGCGUAGAGAUGUGGAGGAACACCGAUGGCGAAGGCAGCCCCCUGGGUCAAGAUUGACGCUCAUGCACGAAAGCGUGGGGAGCAAACAGGAUUAGAUACCCUGGUAGUCCACGCCCUAAACGAUGUCUACUAGUUGUCGGGUUUUAAUUAACUUGGUAACGCAGCUAACGCGUGAAGUAGACCGCCUGGGGAGUACGGUCGCAA